UACGUAGGGGGCAAGCGUUGUCCGGAUUUAUUGGGCGUAAAGAGCGUGUAGGCGGCCAGAUAGGUCCGUUGUGAAAACUGGAGGCUUAACCUCCAGCGGUCGAUGGAAACCAUUUGGCUAGAGUCCGGAAGAGGAGAGUGGAAUUCCUGGUGUAGCGGUGAAGUGCGCAGAUAUCAGGAAGAACACCCGUGGCGAAGGCGGCUCUCUGGGACGGUACUGACGCUGAGACGCGAAAGCGUGGGGAGCGAACAGG
rnacentral:rRNA from 1 species